rnacentral:rRNA from 1 species
AUUGAACGCUGGCGGCAUGCCUUACACAUGCAAGUCGAACGGUAACAGGUCUUCGGAUGCUGACGAGUGGCGAACGGGUGAGUAAUACAUCGGAACGUGCCUAGUAGUGGGGGAUAACUACUCGAAAGAGUGGCUAAUACCGCAUGAGAUCUACGGAUGAAAGCAGGGGAUCGCAAGACCUUGUGCUACUAGAGCGGCCGAUGGCAGAUUAGGUAGUUGGUGGGAUAAAAGCUUACCAAGCCGACGAUCUGUAGCUGGUCUGAGAGGACGAUCAGCCACACUGGGACUGAGACACGGCCCAGACUCCUACGGGAGGCAGCAGUGGGAAAUUUUGGACAAUGGGCGAAAGCCCGAUCCAGCAAUGCCGCGUGCAGGAUGAAGGCCUUCGGGUUGUAAACUGCUUUUGUACGGAACGAAAAGCCCCGGGUUAAUAUCCUGGGGUCAUGACGGUACCGUAAGAAUAAGCACCGGCUAACUACGUGCCAGCCGCCGCCGUAA